rnacentral:rRNA from 1 species
GACAGAGGGUGCAAACGUUGUUCGGAAUUACUGGGCGUAAAGCGCGCGUAGGCGGUUUUGCAAGCCAGAGGUGAAAUGCCUGAGCUCAACUUAGGAAUUGCCUUUGGGACUGCGAGGCUUUGAGGACGGGAGAGGUGAGUGGAAUUCCCAGUGUAGAGGUGAAAUUCGUAGAUAUUCGCAAGAACACCAGUGGCGAAGGCGGCGACCUGGACGGACAUUGACGCUGAGACGCGAAAGCGUGGGGAGCAAACAGG